GACGAACGCUGGCGGCGUGCUUAACACAUGCAAGUCGAACGAUGAAGCCUAGCUUGCUGGGUGGAUUAGUGGCGAACGGGUGAGUAACACGUGAGUAACCUGCCCUGGACUCUGGGAUAACCCCGAGAAAUCGGAGCUAAUACCGGAUAGGACCUUUCCCCGCAUGGGGUUUGGUGGAAAGUUUUUCGGUUUGGGAUGGACUCGCGGCCUAUCAGCUUGUUGGUGAGGUAAUGGCUCACCAAGGCGUCGACGGGUAGCCGGCCUGAGAGGGUGACCGGCCACACUGGGACUGAGACACGGCCCAGACUCCUACGGGAGGCAGCAGUGGGGAAUAUUGCACAAUGGGCGCAAGCCUGAUGCAGCAACGCCGCGUGCGGGAUGACGGCCUUCGGGUUGUAAACCGCUUUUAGUAAGGAAGAAGGGGCUUCGGCCUUGACGGUACUUGCAGAAAAAGGACCGGCUAACUACGUGCCAGCAGCCGCAGUAACAC
rnacentral:rRNA from 1 species